AGAGUUUGAUCCUGGCUCAGGAUGAACGCUGGCGGCGUGCCUAAUACAUGCAAGUCGAGCGAACGGACGAGAAGCUUGCUUCUCUGAUGUUAGCGGCGGACGGGUGAGUAACACGUGGAUAACCUACCUAUAAGACUGGGAUAACUUCGGGAAACCGGAGCUAAUACCGGAUAAUAUUUUGAACCGCAUGGUUCAAAAGUGAAAGACGGUCUUGCUGUCACUUAUAGAUGGAUCCGCGCUGCAUUAGCUAGUUGGUAAGGUAACGGCUUACCAAGGCAACGAUGCAUAGCCGACCUGAGAGGGUGAUCGGCCACACUGGAACUGAGACACGGUCCAGACUCCUACGGGAGGCAGCAGUAGGGGAUCUUCCGCAAUGGGCGAAAGCCUGACGGAGCAACGCCGCGUGAGUGAUGAAGGUCUUCGGAUCGUAAAACUCUGUUAUUAGGGAAGAACAUAUGUGUAAGUAACUGUGCACAUCUUGACGGUACCUAAUCAGAAAGCCACGGCUAACUACGUGCCAGCAGCCGCGGUAAUACGUAGGUGGCAAGCGUUAUCCGGAAUUAUUGGGCGUAAAGCGCGCGUAGGCGGUUUUUUAAGUCUGAUGUGAAAGCCCACGGCUCAACCGUGGAGGGUCAUUGGAAACUGGAAAACUUGAGUGCAGAAGAGGAAAGUGGAAUUCCAUGUGUAGCGGUGAAAUGCGCAGAGAUAUGGAGGAACACCAGUGGCGAAGGCGACUUUCUGGUCUGUAACUGACGCUGAUGUGCGAAAGCGUGGGGAUCAAACAGGAUUAGAUACCCUGGUAGUCCACGCCGUAAACGAUGAGUGCUAAGUGUUAGGGGGUUUCCGCCCCUUAGUGCUGCAGCUAACGCAUUAAGCACUCCGCCUGGGGAGUACGACCGCAAGGUUGAAACUCAAAGGAAUUGACGGGGACCCGCACAAGCGGUGGAGCAUGUGGUUUAAUUCGAAGCAACGCGAAGAACCUUACCAAAUCUUGACAUCCUUUGACAACUCUAGAGAUAGAGCCUUCCCCUUCGGGGGACAAAGUGACAGGUGGUGCAUGGUUGUCGUCAGCUCGUGUCGUGAGAUGUUGGGUUAAGUCCCGCAACGAGCGCAACCCUUAAGCUUAGUUGCCAUCAUUAAGUUGGGCACUCUAAGUUGACUGCCGGUGACAAACCGGAGGAAGGUGGGGAUGACGUCAAAUCAUCAUGCCCCUUAUGAUUUGGGCUACACACGUGCUACAAUGGACAAUACAAAGGGCAGCGAAACCGCGAGGUCAAGCAAAUCCCAUAAAGUUGUUCUCAGUUCGGAUUGUAGUCUGCAACUCGACUACAUGAAGCUGGAAUCGCUAGUAAUCGUAGAUCAGCAUGCUACGGUGAAUACGUUCCCGGGUCUUGUACACACCGCCCGUCACACCACGAGAGUUUGUAACACCCGAAGCCGGUGGAGUAACCUUUUAGGAGCUAGCCGUCGAAGGUGGGACAAAUGAUUGGGGUGAAGUCGUAACAAGGUAGCCGUAUCGGAAGGUGCGGCUGGAUCACCU
rnacentral:rRNA from 15 species